AACGAACGCUGGCGGCAUGCCUAACACAUGCAAGUCGAACGAGACCUUCGGGUCUAGUGGCGCACGGGUGCGUAACGCGUGGGAACCUGCCCUUAGGUUCGGAAUAACUCCCCGAAAGGGGUGCUAAUACCGGAUAAUGUAUUCUGACCAAAGAUUUAUCGCCUUUGGAUGGGCCCGCGUUGGUUUAGCCAGUUGGUAGGGUAAAAGCCUACCACGGCGACGAUCCAUAGCUGGUCUGAGAGGAUGAUCAGCCACACUGGGACUGAGACACGGCCCAGACUCCUACGGGAGGCAGCAGUGGGGAAUAUUGGACAAUGGGGGAAAGCCUGAUCCAGCAAUGCCGCGUGAGUGAUGAAGGCCUUAGGGUUGUAAAGCUCUUUUACCCGGGAUGAUAAUGACAGUACCGGGAGAAUAAGCUCCGGCUAACUCCGUG
rnacentral:rRNA from 1 species